UUGCCGAGCAGCCUGCGCAGGAAGGUCUGCACCUGGGCCCAGGGGUAGAUGCUGUUGGAGCCGUCCAGCACCAUGACGAUGUCCAUUGCUCUGCACACGGUCGGCGCUUAAUAAAGACGACUGGACGCGUGAAGGGACGACCAGCCUUCCCGCAGCACCGGGCCUUGUGGGCCUCUCCCCCGUCCCUGCGUUUCCUCACCAGGAAUCCCCCUGCCUCCGGAUCCUCGGGUUGCAGCAGCGACAUCCCCAGGUGGCGUUGGCACCCCCUCCCACGGGGCAGCGAUAAACGUCUCCCCUGCGGUCGCCCGCCGGCCCGGCCCAGGGGGCGCUGGCCAGG